UACGGAGGGAGCUAGCGUUGUUCGGAAUUACUGGGCGUAAAGCGCACGUAGGCGGCUUUGUAAGUUAGAGGUGAAAGCCCGGGGCUCAACUCCGGAAUUGCCUUUAAGACUGCAUCGCUUGAAUCCAGGAGAGGUGAGUGGAAUUCCGAGUGUAGAGGUGAAAUUCGUAGAUAUUCGGAAGAACACCAGUGGCGAAGGCGGCUCACUGGACUGGUAUUGACGCUGAGGUGCGAAAGCGUGGGGAGCGAACAGG
rnacentral:rRNA from 1 species